rnacentral:rRNA from 1 species
UACGGAGGGUGCAAGCGUUGUCCGGAAUCACUGGGCGUAAGGGGCGCGUAGGCGGCCUGGUAAGUAGGGGGUGAAAUCCUGCGGCUUAACCGCAGGGCUGCCUUCUAAACUGUCAGGCUUGAGCACGGUAGAGGCAGAUGGAAUUCCCGGUGUAGCGGUGGAAUGCGUAGAGAUCGGGAAGAACAUCAGUGGCGAAGGCGGUCUGCUGGGCCGUUGCUGACGCUGAGGCGCGACAGCGUGGGGAGCAAACAGG